GGGGUGAACCAGUACCGCCACUGGAUCAAAGAGGAACUGGACAAGAUGGUGGAGUAUGAGCUGAAGAUGGGAGGAGUUCUCUUACACCCGACCUUCGGUGGAGGCAAAGACAAGGACAAUCCUACCCCUCACCUCCACUUCUCCAUCAAGCACCCUCACACCCUGUCCUGGAAGUACUAUAAGUGUUCCAGUGUAAAGCCCACCUGGUCAUGAGGCUCAUUGAGAACAGAUCAGCAUGGAGUUCAUGCUGCAGGUGUUCAACAAGUUACUAAGCCUGGCCAGUACAGCGUCCUCCAGAAGUACCAGUCACACAUGUGGAGUAGAU